rnacentral:rRNA from 1 species
UAAGGAAUAUUGCUCAAUGGGAGAAAUCCUGAAGCAGCAACGCCGCGUGGAGGAUGAAGGGUCUAUGACUUGUAAGCUCCUGUAAAGAAGGAAAAAAUUCCCAUUUGAUGGGAGAUGAUGGUACUUCUGGAGUAAGCCCCGGCUAACUACGUGCCAGCAGCCGCGGUAAUACGUAGGGGGCAAGCGUUGUCCGGAUUUACUGGGUGUAAAGGGUGCUCAGGCGGAUUUGUAAGUCAGAGGUGAAAUCUUACAGCUUAACUGUGAAACUGCCUUUGAUACUGCAAGCCUAGAGUAUGGAAGAGAGUGAUGGAAUAUCUGGUGUAGCAGUGAAAUGCGUAGAUAUCAGAUAGAACACCAAUGGCGAAGGCAGUCACUUGGUCCAUUACUGACGCUAAAGCACGAAAGCGUGGGUAGCAAACA